rnacentral:rRNA from 1 species
GACGAACGCUGGCGGCGUGCUUAACACAUGCAAGUCGAACGGAAAGGCCCUGCGUUUGUGGGGUGCUCGAGUGGCGAACGGGUGAGUAACACGUGUGUAACCUGCCCUUGACUUUGGGAUAACUUCAGGAAACUGGGGCUAAUACCGGAUAGGAGCUCCGGCUGCAUGGUGGGGGUUGGAAAGUUUCGGCGUUUGGGGAUGGACUCGCGGCUUAUCAGCUUGUUGGUGGGGUAGUGGCUUACCAAGGCUUUGACGGGUAGCCGGACUGAGAGGGUGACAGGCCACAUUGGGACUGAGAUACGGCCAAGACUCCUACGGGAGGCAGCAGUGGGGAAUAUUGCACAAUGGGCGGAAGCCUGAUGCAGCAACGUCGCGUGCGGGAUGACGGCUUUCGGGUUGUAAACCGCUUUCGCCUGUGACGAAGCGUGAGUGACGGUAAUGGGUAAAGAAGCACCGGCUAACUACGUG